CAAUAGCGUAUAUUUAAGUUGUUGCAGUUAAAAAGCUCGUAGUUGGAUUUCGGAUGGGAUUUGCCGGUCCGUCGUUACGAUGUGCACUGGCCAGUCCUAUCUUGUUGUCGGGGACUAGCUCCUUGGAUUCACUUCCUGGGACUAGGAGCUGACGAGGUUACUUUGAGUAAAUUAGAGUGUUCAAAGCAAGCCUACGCUCUGAAUACAUUAGCAUGGAAUAACACGAUAGGACUCUGGCUUAUCUUGUUGGUCUGUGAGACCGGAGUAAUGAUUAAGAGGGACAGUCGGGGACAUUCGUAUUUCAUUGUCAGAGGUGAAAUUCUUGGAUUUAUGAAAGACGAACUUCUGCGAAAGCAUUUGUCAAGGAUGUUUUCAUUAA
rnacentral:rRNA from 1 species